AUUGAACGCUGGCGGAAUGCUUUACACAUGCAAGUCGAACGGCAGCACGGACUUCGGUCUGGUGGCGAGUGGCGAACGGGUGAGUAAUGUAUCGGAACGUGCCCAGUCGUGGGGGAUAACGUAGUGAAAGUUACGCUAAUACCGCAUACGAUCUAUGGAUGAAAGCGGGGGAUCGCAAGACCUCGCGCGAUUGGAGCGGCCGAUAUCAGAUUAGGUAGUUGGUGGGGUAAAGGCCCACCAAGCCAACGAUCUGUAGCUGGUCUGAGAGGACGACCAGCCACACUGGAACUGAGACACGGUCCAGACUCCUACGGGAGGCAGCAGUGGGGAAUUUUGGACAAUGGGCGAAAGCAUGAUCCAGCCAUUCCGCGUGCAGGAUGAAGGCCCUCGGGUUGUAAACUGCUUUUGUACAGAACGAAAAGGUUUCUACUAAUACUAGGAGCUCAUGACGGUACUGUAAGAAUAAGCACCGGCUAACUACGUGCCAGCCGCCGCGGUAA
rnacentral:rRNA from 1 species